rnacentral:rRNA from 1 species
UACGUAGGUGGCAAGCGUUGUCCGGAUUUACUGGGCGUAAAGAGCGCGCAGGCGGUCGUUCAAGUCGCGUGUGAAAGCCCCCGGCUCAACUGGGGAGGGUCACGCGAUACUGAUCGACUCGAAGGCAGGAGAGGGAAGUGGAAUUCCCGGUGUAGUGGUGAAAUGCGCAGAUAUCAGGAAGAACACCCGUGGCUAAGGCGGCUCUCUAGUACGGUACUGACGCUGAGACGCGAAAGCGUGGGGAGCGAACAGG